rnacentral:misc_RNA from 1 species
CUGACUCUCGCUUGUGAAGACUUUGAUCCAUUGUAUGAAUUUGAUCAUAAUGUGGACAAUGAUCAUCAUGUGGCUGAUAAGGACACAAUGAAGAAAGCACUUGUGGCUGAGCCUGGAGUAGAAGGAAAAGAAUCUAAGACCCCUAUAGAAGUAGUUGCUCAAGUGUUGGCUUCAUCAAAAUUUCUUCAAAAUAUUGGUCUUUACCUGCCACAAAUAAAAGCGGCAAUGGUGGUGAUCCUACACGUGUGGCAGAGCUUGAAUCAGAGAAGCAAAACUCAUUAG